rnacentral:tRNA from 1 species
GUGGUUCAGUGGUAGAAUUCUCGCCUUCCAUGUGGGAGACCCAGGCUUGAUUCCUGGC